GCACCCGUAGCUCAGCAGGAUAGAGCGCUGCCCUCCGAAGGCAGAGGCCAGAGGUUCGAAUCCUCUCGGGUGCGCCA
rnacentral:tRNA from 1 species